UGCUUCCGGUGAUGCAAUCUGUUCAUAUGUUAUGAUUUUACUGUGAUUAUUUCACAAAAUAUCACCAUCUUUCGGCUGAGGUUGCA